AAAUCCCCCGCUCCUUUCUCCUCCCUCCCUUUUCUCCCGCCUCCCCCCAAAAACACCCGUGUGAUACUCUGAGCCUCUCUUCUCUCUCUCUCUCUCUCUCUCCCUGGGACUGUCUAGCCUCUCCUCCUUGCUGUGCCUCUGCGAACGGCUCCCCUUGCCGUCGAGCCAUCGUGGGUCUUCCCCUGCAGCCCCUCACCCUCUUGUCGAUUCUCUCUCUUCCCUCUCCGUCUCGGAUCCUAGCAGAUCUGUGCACUUUUGCCGUCUCCAGCCAUGGCCAUCACCACCCUCAGCCGUCCUAUGGUUCCGCCAGUCUCCAACCGUCGCUCCACCCUAGCUCCCACAUCUCUCUUUUUCGCAUGGUCUCUUUCGCUGGUCUCCACCGCACACCCCCACCGUUUUCUGAUUAUAUUGGCCUUCCCCACCGCCGUGAGCCACCAUCGCCGCCUCCAGCCAAGACGUAGCACCACCACGAGCAACCCAUGGACGCAGCAGCACCUCCCGCACGCCUCCUUCGUUGUCCAGCCCUUAAGAAUGAAUUACAUGUGAUGAUGACGAAGAGCGAGGGAGUCGCAGAGUGUACAGGGGCUGCAUGCGUUCUCCAACAUGCAAGGGCUGCACUUCUUGUGUCUGUUUUGGAUGUGAAAUCUGUCGUUUCUCUGAUUGCAGCUGCCAAACCUGCAUCGACUUUACUAGGAAUGCGAAGACUUGAGUCUCCAAAAGCAUUAUAUUUUUCUUUUUUUAUUUUUUUUUUCUGAAAUUUCUUAGUAUUUGCCGCAAAUACAACUCGUGGCAAAUACUUUGUUAUUUGUGGGAAGUGAUUAUUUCCCGCUAUAAUAGUUCUUCGUAAAUAAGUAUUCUAUGGAAAACACUUUUUGCAUAAUAUGUUAUGGGCAAACACUUUUUGCCACAACCUCUUCCCAUGGGAAAUGUGAAGAGUUUUUUUCUCA